UACGUAGGUGGCAAGCGUUGUCCGGAAUUAUUGGGCGUAAAGCGCGCGCAGGCGGCCUUUUAAGUCUGAUGUGAAAGCCCACGGCUCAACCGUGGAAGGUCAUUGGAAACUGAAAGGCUUGAGUACAGAAGAGGAAAGCGGAAUUCCACGUGUAGCGGUGAAAUGCGUAGAGAAUGUGGAGGAACACCAGUGGCGAAGGCGGCUUUCUGGUCUGUAACUGACGCUGAGGCGCGAAAGCGUGGGGAGCAAACAGGA
rnacentral:rRNA from 1 species